AAGACAUCAAGCUCAGAGUUUUUUCUCCAGAGAAGAGGUGUUGGCUCAGAAAACUGAAGCGAUUUUAACCUCAUUACCUCAAGUAAUGAUCCACAUCAGUCAUAAAAAUGAGGAGGCUGAAGCAAACCUGAGGUCAAAGAAGUGAUAAUUCUUCCAGCAGUAUCUGUAGCAAUGGCAUCCCACUCUUGAGUCUGUUUCUUAGUUGUGUGGCUGGUUGAGCUGGCUAGGAAGCUAAGCAUUUCAAACACAGAACCACUGUUGUGACUGGAGGCUACGGAUGGAAUUAGGCUGUCACACAUUACUUGCUAAACAUGGCAUUGCGUUUUCGUGAAACACGUGCUUUCUCCUACUGAUUUGUGGUUGUCUGGCAAGGAAUCAGCACUCAGCAGACAGGCACAGCUCCAGUGGGAGAAGAAGCAGGACAAUUCCUUCAAAACAGACUCCAUUUUCCUUACCUCACAGCUGGAAAUAGACUGGCGGUAUCCUUCAGAAGAAUCCAUUUCAAUGAUUCAAUGGACUAUAAAAAAGAUGGGUACAAAUUCCAAGUUAUCUAUCUUACACCUAAGAAGACAAAGGUACCAGGCCUUUGAUUUUAGGAGAUAGAUCCUGACCAGGAGUUUGGUCAGUCAUCUUGAUGAAAUGAGUACCUUGAACCAAGUCUAGCUUGUUAAGUUGUAGACACUAGAAAGCCUUUUAUUUUUGUUUCUCUUUUAACCAUUUCUGACUUUAAUCCUUAUAUUUGUAUCAAU